UCCGCCAGGGAACUACAAGCACAGCUUAAAACCCAAAGGACUUGGCGGUGCCUCAGACCCACCUAGAGGAGCCUGUUCUAGAACCGAUAAUCCCCGUUAAACCUCACCACCCCUUGCUUUCCCCGCCUAUAUACCGCCGUCGUCAGCUUACCCUAUGAAGGCCAAACAGUAAGCAAAAUGAGUUAAACCCAAAACGUCAGGUCGAGGUGUAGCGCACGAGGUGGGAAGAAAUGGGCUACAUUUUCUAUUACAGAAUAUUACGAAUAAUGCCCUGAAAAGCUAUGAAGGAGGAUUUAGUAGUAAAAGCACC
rnacentral:rRNA from 1 species